UGGGGAAUAGUGUAACGGUAGCACGACAGACUCUGACUCUGUUUGUUGGGGUUCGA
rnacentral:tRNA from 1 species